UUUUUUAAUUGAAAACUUGUAUGAAGGGUUGAAUGAGAAAUUAAUUGUUUCAUAAAAAUUAAAAAUUGAAUUUUAUUUUUUAGUUAAAAAGCUAAAAUAAAUUUAUAAGACGAGAAGACCCUAUAAAGUUUUAUAUUUUUUUUUUUAUAUUUUUAUAUAUUAAAUUUUAAAGAUUAUAAAAUUAAAUUAUUUUAUUGGGGAGAUAAUAAAAUUUAAAUAACUUUUAAUAAUUUAAACAUAAAUUAAUGGUUAUAUUUUGAUGAUCCUUUAAUAAAGAUUAAUAAAUUAAAUUACUUUAGGGAUAACAGCGUAAUUUUUUUUUUAAGUUCAUAUUUAUGAAAAAGUUUGC
rnacentral:rRNA from 1 species